AUUGAACGCUGGCGGCAGGCCUAACACAUGCAAGUCGAACGGUAACAGGAGGAAGCUUGCUUCUUUGCUGACGAGUGGCGGACGGGUGAGUAAUGUCUGGGAAACUGCCUGAUGGAGGGGGAUAACUACUGGAAACGGUAGCUAAUACCGCAUAACGUCGCAAGACCAAAAAGGGGGACCUUCGGGCCUCUUGCCAUCGGAUGUGCCCAGAUGGGAUUAGCUAGUAGGUGGGGUAACGGCUCACCUAGGCGACGAUCCCUAGCUGGUCUGAGAGGAUGACCAGCCACACUGGAACUGAGACACGGUCCAGACUCCUACGGGAGGCAGCAGUGGGGAAUAUUGCACAAUGGGCGCAAGCCUGAUGCAGCCAUGCCGCGUGUAUGAAGAAGGCCUUCGGGUUGUAAAGUACUUUCAGCGGGGAGGAAGGGAGUAAAGUUAAUACCUUUGCUCAUUGACGUUACCCGCAGAAGAAGCACCGGCUAACUCCGUG
rnacentral:rRNA from 1 species